UAGAAAAUUUGUUGUUGCAAUGUUUUUUAUUUUUAUUUUUUAAAUACGUGUCUAAUAUAUAUUAUAAUCGUGUCAAAAAUAGUAUUAUAAUCAACACAAAAAACUACUUUUCGUUUUAGAUAAAUAAAUAUGACUUCUUGGUCGGCAAUUGAGCGAGAGAGAAUAUACACGGAAAAAACAGCCCGAGUCGAGCUAUUUGAACAAUCAGCCAUGAAUGGAAGGUGUGCUGUCAUAUGUCGUCGGCUGUCAACACCCCUGCGACAUUUGUAUGGACACCAUACGAGGUGCUGAUUCGAGAUACAGUGAUGCACCAUGGACGGAGAACCUGAAAAAACAUUCACCUCGAGGAAACACGAAAAUUUUUCGGUUGGUUACUUAGCACAGCUUACUUUACUUUUCUUCCAUGACGGUAAGACCUAUAGGAUGGACCACGAGAUGAGCUUGGAAAGUUGGUAGUUCAUAGUUCACUCAGAGAAGAAGAGACAGAAUUAUAUUGCAAAUUCAUUCUCCUCAGAACAGUAAUUUUCAGGAGGUGUUCCUCACGGAAUAUAAACUGGGCCAUUGUUACAGUAACUUCAAAAGCAAAAAUAAUUCGGACCGCCAGUGCUUUGGCAGUUAAAAUUUGCAACAAAUUUCAAGUGAUCACGAUGAUAUCCAUUCCUACUAGCAGAUGAACCAGUUUUUCAUCAGAAACUGCAAAUUAUUAUAGUUGUGGAUACCGCAUACAUUUCUACUGAAGUAAGCUCCUACAGAGCUAGGCAAAGAACGACAAAACACAAGCACUACAGGAAAAUCCUUAAGGCCCUCUCGGAGCGGUGCCUGUGCAAAAGU